GGUGGUUCUCGGGUGACGCACUCCAGAAUUGGGCUCCCUCCUCUCUGGUUCAGGGUGCAUCACCUGAGAACCACC
rfam:Myotis lucifugus cont2.49840, whole genome shotgun sequence.